UUUUUUUCUGUUUAGUCCGUCUGGUGUUCCUACUUUUUGUCCUCUUUGCCCGUCUGCCCCUCUAGGACUCUGGGGAUUUUUCUACCUUUCCGCUCGCUGUUGAGAAGCCUGUAUCUACUAGGCAGCCGACUCCACUCACCUCUCACUUGGCGCUGCCUCUAGAUUCCAGCGGUGGCUUUCCACUGUUGGUCUUCGACUUUCCCUCACCGAUGUCCGGCUGUUGCUGGUGUAGUCUCCAUGCUGGUCUUUCCGACAGAGUGCUGGCGGUUUCGUCAUCCGGCCAACUGAGUCUUCAGUGUUUGUUAAUAAACUUUAAUAUUCAUUCACCUGCUGUUGGAUCCUGGUCUUACUUCUGACACUGUUCUAAUUAUUUAAUGUGGUGUACAGAAGAACUUGGUGACUUUAACAUUUUCUCAUAUUUAUGCAUUUGGUUGUUAUUGCAAAGAAACUUUAUUGCAUUCCCAUUUUUAAUGAGAUGCUCAAUUAGGAGUGAUGGACAGGUGUCCACACAUGUUUAGCCGAACUAUAUUGUUAUCUCUGCAAAUCACUGAGCUGUUUUUACCAUACCAACAUGCACCUUUCUGCAAACUUUUGUGUAGGACUUCCUGUUGAUAUUUCACCUGGAUCAAUCUCAACACAACAUAUUGCUUGUUUGUAGAAACAUAUUACAACAAGUGGAAGUUGUGGCCUUAUAGUUAGAGACUCCUAACCCUAAGGUUGUGGUUUCGAGUUUUAGGCCGGCAAUACCAUGUUUGUUGCAGGUUCAGCAAAGUAAGAAAACAUAAUUUUACCAGGAGUCCAUAAAAAAAUUUGGCAACCAUUGUAGAGGUAGGUUUACUAAAAAAUAAAGUGACCCUUCAAUACUUGCAUUUCUGUUAUCCUGUAAGAAUGUUUCAUGUGUGUUUAUUUUUUAUUAUUAUUUUUUUUAUUUAUUUUGCAGAUGGAGGAUCUAUCGUGGCCAAAAUUUGUAUCAAAAAAGGCCAAGGUCAGCUGGGUUAAGAGUCACAGACAGAGUCUGGUGGCACAAACAGUGGAUGAAGAGUUGGAUGAAGAAAGACAAAUCUGUGUUGAUUUGGCACACAAAGGUCUCAAUGGUUGCUGCUGUCCUGCUGUUUCCACUUCUGUUAAAGGAGAGUCUGAGAUCUCUUUAUGUCAUCAGUGAGGAACCAGAUACACCCAACCCUGUGCUGUUUAUGAAGGGACAUGCCUUGGAUGCAGAGUCUCUUUUAGAAAUAAUGAUGGAAGGGGAGGAGGAGGUCUGUGAAGUAGAUGAUGUGAACACAGCUCUACACUUCAUCUUCAACACUGAAUAUGCUUCAAAGUUGAGAGACACCCUGACAUUUACUGAAAACUGUUUAAUGUAUCAUAAUGCCAAAA